UGUGUUGGAGAGGUAGAGAGAUGGGGGACAAGGAGACGAUGCAGAGGGAUUGAAGGGACUAACGUGCAUAUGUCAGUGCCUUCUGUGACUGCAGUAAUCUAUGCGAAUGAGUCAGAAGCAGUGGAGGGGGAGAGCUGAGCUGUGGGACAUUGGGGAGGAUAAAGUUUAGCCACUCUUCAGAUGCUGGAAAGAACAACAUAUGGCACCCCUGGGCAACGAUAACUCUGUGGUAACAAAGUUUUUGGGCAGUUAAUUCAAGUAGAUGUUGAAAUUAAAUGUUCUGUGUGUUAAUUAUGGAUCUUUUUUGAACUCGUUCACAUUGGCAACUUUGGCUAAUACUCACAUACCUUCAUACUUUUUCCUAUUUCAUAAAAUCUGUACUACCACUGCCCUCUACUUUCAAUCCCUAUUUAAGAUUCAUCUCUGCUGUGAUGCCUACAAAACCAUUUGCUGAUCGUGGAUAGGCAGGUAACAAACUGAUUGUGCCUCUUCCUUUUCCCACUAGCUUGCUCUUACUCACUCCUUCGCACUUACUAACUUCCGUAUUCCUUCCCUGACCUGUACCUUACUUAAAAAAUUAGAAGAAAGGAAGAAACAAAAACAGCCAAUAACCAGAUGUGAUUGUCAAAGGCUGUGUCAAUUCUUCACCAUAUUCAUUUGCUUUCAUGUUACAUCCCCAUACCCAAUCCUUCAAGUGUCUCUUUUAGGCCCCAAAAUAAGAAAGCGGUUAGGCGUGUACUAAAGUCCAUCCCUGCCCAGAAAAACACUUACACAUAUACCUAAUUCCCCACUGAAGUCAAUGGGACUUAAGCAUGUGCUUAACUUUAAUAUGAAUGCUUUACUAAAUCAGAGCCUUAGACUUCAAUCCUAUAAACAUUUAUGCAUUUUCUUAACUUUAAGCACACAAACAGUUCUAUCGACUUCAAUCUGACUACCAACAUGAGUAGAGCUAAGCAUAUACAUAAGUGUUUGCAGAACUAGGGUCUUAGACUGUAAACCUUCCAGGUUUCUAAUUUCUUCAUUCUUCACCCUACCUGAUGAAUCUUUGGAAGGCACUGUCUCUAACCCCCAUUAUCCUUUCUGAUGCUGGGGAGCAUAGCUUCAGGAGGCAUGCUACUAGGGACUGAACCUCAUGCUGUAUUAGCUCUUCACAGGAUUCUCUGCAGAGCUGCAAAAUGCACAAUGUUCAUUCCUUCCCAGCCUGCCCAUAACUGUCAUUAGCUCCCCAAGUCUCCACUCUCACCCCUUAUGCAGAAGCAAGAAGAUGGUGCCACAGAGACAAUUAAUCUGCAAACUUUGUGUGGGAAGAAGCAGAUCCAAACAAGGAGAGUUCCAUCCGUGCACAAAUCUGGGGGGACAAUAUGGGGACUGAAGACUUUCUUAGGUCUAUUUGUCCAGUUAGGAAUUUUUAUAGCGGUGGGGUUUGUUUGUUAUUUUCCCCCCCUUUUGACCAAGUAUGGCCACAAAGGAUGGAGUCAGCUCAGACAAUGUUGCUUAACAGUGCUUGUGGUUACUGGGAAGAUGAAAAUGUAUAUAGUUACGGUUGUCAUGGAGUUUUUGCUUCUCUGUACGUGUACCACUGCAAGGUAGAGUUAAGGCUAUUUGGGUGUUGCACAAACACAACAGUUCAGUAUAUGGGUAUAUGUUAAUGACCAGUGUGUAAGCUAAGUGGAACUUCUCAGUGUACAAGCUAAUUAAUAUCCAGUUACUGUCUAAAUAUCACUGAUGUAAAGAGUGAAAAUAAAUUAUUUCCUAUUAUCCAAAAGGCAUAAAGGGUUCUGGACAUGUUUAUUGGCACAAAAUAAACUUACAAUUGUGGAGUGAA